rnacentral:rRNA from 1 species
CAAUAGCGUAUAUUAAAGUUGUUGCGGUAAAAAAGCUCGUAGUUGGAUUUCUACCGAAGAUAGCCGGUCGGGUCUUCGACCUUGUAUCUGGUCUUGUCCUUGGUAUCCUCAUAGGGAACGUUUCUGCGCUUUAUUGCGUGGUGCGGUAUCUAUGACUUUUACUUUGAGGAAAUUAGAGUGUUCACGGCAGGCAAACGCCUUGAAUAUAUUAGCAUGGAAUAAUAACAUAGGAUCUUCGUCCUAUUUUGUUGGUUUCUAGGGCUAAGAUAAUGAUUAAUAGGGAUAAUUGGGGGCAUCUGUAUCAACGCGUCAGAGGUGGAAUUCUUGGAUUGCGUUGCGACAAACUACUGCGAAAGCAUUUGCCAAGGAUGUUUUCAUUGA